rnacentral:piRNA from 1 species
UAGAUGCUGAGAUUUCUAAGCGAAGGGCCA